UUGGGAAGGAUGAGGGAGAGACGAAAAGCAUUUUACUCAUACAAUCAACUAAUUCGCUUGAGGAACAAACAACAAGAGAAUCUUUUCAGCAGGCGUCACUACUGCCCACACGAACUGCAAUCUCAGAUUCAACUGAUUCACCUGAGGAACAAACAACGAGAGAACCUUUUCAGCAGGCGUCACUGCUGCCCACGCGAAAUGCAAUCUCAG